UACGGAGGGUGCAAGCGUUAUCCGGAUUCACUGGGUUUAAAGGGUGCGUAGGAGGGCAGGUAAGUCAGUGGUGAAAUCCCCCGAGCUUAACUUGGGAACUGCCGUUGAUACUAUCUGUCUUGAAUACCGUGGAGAUGAGCGGAAUAUGUCAUGUAGCGGUGAAAUGCUUAGAUAUGACAUAGAACACCAAUUGCGAAGGCAGCUCGUUACACGAAUAUUGACUCUGAGGCACGAAAGCGUGGGGAUCAAACAGG
rnacentral:rRNA from 1 species